UUUGUCCUACGGGGCGCAGCAGUGGGGAAUAUUGCACAAUGGGCGCAAGCCUGAUGCAGCGACGCCGCGUGCGGGAUGGAGGCCUUCGGGUUGUAAACCGCUUUUGUUCAAGGGCAAGGCACGGUCUUUGGCCGUGUUGAGGGGAUUGUUCGAAUAGGCACCGGCUAACUACGUGCCAGCAGCCGCGGUAGUACGUAGGGUGCAAGCGUUAUCCGGAUUUAUUGGGCGUAAAGGGCUCGUAGCCGGUUCGUCGCGUCCGGUGUGAAAGUCCAUCGUUUAACGGUGUAGCUGCGCCGGG
rnacentral:rRNA from 1 species